AACGCAGGUGGUUUGGUAAGUCAGGGGUGAAAGUCCACAGCUUAACUGUGGCACUGCCUUUGAUACUACCUUUCUUGAGUGCAUGAGGGGGAAGCGGAAUUCCGAGUGUAGAGGUGAAAUUCGUAGAUAUUCGGAGGAACACCGGUGGCGAAGGCGGCUUCCUGGCAUGUAACUGACACUCAUGUUCGAAAGCGUGGGGAGCAAACAGGAUUAGAUACCCUGGUAGUCCGCGCCCUAAACGAUGGGCACUAGGUGUGGGAGGUAUCGACCCCUUCCGUGCCGCAGCUAACGCAUUAAGUGCCCCGCCUGGGGAGUACGGCCGCAAGGUUGAA
rnacentral:rRNA from 1 species